rnacentral:rRNA from 1 species
GACGAACGCUGGCGGCGUGCUUAACACAUGCAAGUGGAGCGACGAACCGGGGCUUGCCCCGGGGCAGAGCCGCGAACGGGUGAGUAACACGUGGGUUACCUACCCCGAUGACCGGGACAACCCGAGGAAACUCGGGCUAAUACCGGAUGUGGUCUUCGGGCGAAAGGAAGCUUCGGCCUCCGCAUCGGGAUGGGCCCGCGGCGCAUUAGCUUGUUGGUGGGGUAACGGCCUACCAAGGCGACGAUGCGUAGCUGGUCUGAGAGGACGAUCAGCCACACUGGGACUGAGACACGGCCCAGACUCCUACGGGAGGCAGCAGUGGGGAAUCUUGCGCAAUGCGCGAAAGCGUGACGCAGCAACGCCGCGUGGGGGAAGAAGGCCUUCGGGUUGUAAACCUCUUUCAGUUGGGACGAAGCCUUACGGGUUAAUAGCCCGUGGAGGUGACGGUACCUUCAGAAGAAGCCCCGGCUAACUACGUGACAGCCGCCGCGGUAACAC